AUCCUUUUGUAGUUCAUAAGUGUGAUGAUUGGGUUUUGACACGCAUGUGUGAGAUGUGCCAUCCUCAAACCUUGUUACAAUGUAGGCCCAUGACCCUCUGAUG
ensembl:snoRNA